GGAUCAUGACCUGAGCCGAAGGCAGAGGCUUUAACCCGCUGAGCCACCCAGGCGCCCUUUAGUGGAUUUUAAAAAAGAAUUCAGAUAACCUUUCACCUGGGGGCGAAAGACAGGGAGAUGAGAAAGGAAAAGGCAGAUUUCUUGUCAAUAAACAAUAUAGGUUUGGUUUGUUAAAAACCUAUUUGGGGUUCUGUUUAUAUUAUGCUAAAGACAAGUUGGGUAGUAAGAAUUAACAUUUUUUGCUUCUGAUUUAGCUUAACGACUUACUAAUGUGUGACCUUGCGCAAGUUAUUUUAACCUUUCUUUGCCUCAGUUUCCUCAUCCAUAAAGUGGGAGUCAAAAUAGAAGCUACCUCUUAGGAUUGUCAGUAUUAAAUAGGUUGAUAUUUAUAAAACCUUUAGUGCCUGCUUCAUACUAAGUGCUGUAUGAGUGUUAUGUGUCAUUAUUAUUUGAAGCCAUCUAUAUAAUUAUUAAAGUCUGGGAUAUAAUUUGAACACACCUAGCUUAUAGGUCAUAUACCUAGGAUUCUUAGAGGACAUUAACAACUUUAGGGGAAUAAUUAUUCUCUAUAGCUUUCCCUAAAGAACCCAGAUUCUGUUUAAAAAAAAAAAAAAAAAAGAUAAACACGAGGCAGGGAUUGCGUGAUAAAUUCCAUUUACCUGAAAUAAGGUAUGUUUUGAGCAUAGUUGUACCCUUAGAGACUGAAGAGUAAUCAUAUAUUUAAAAUGUGUUGGUUGUGGAGCACUGUAUCAAAAUAUUCACAUGGGAUUAAAUACUUAACCAGGUUAAGUACUAAAUCGGUUGUUCUUAAACAUCAGUAUCUCUUAAAAA